UACGUAGGGUGCAAGCGUUAAUCGGAAUUACUGGGCGUAAAGCGUGCGCAGGCGGUUAUGUAAGACAGGUGUGAAAUCCCCGGGCUUAACCUGGGAACUGCAUUUGUGACUGCAUCGCUGGAGUGCGGCAGAGGGGGAUGGAAUUCCGCGUGUAGCAGUGAAAUGCGUAGAUAUGCGGAGGAACACCGAUGGCGAAGGCAAUCCCCUGGGCCUGCACUGACGCUCCAUGCACGAAAGCGUGGGGAGCAAACAGG
rnacentral:rRNA from 1 species